rnacentral:rRNA from 1 species
UAAUACGUAGGUGGCAAGCGUUAUCCGGAAUUAUUGGGCGUAAAGCGCGCGCAGGCGGUUUCUUAAGUCUGAUGUGAAAGCCCACGGCUCAACCGUGGAGGGUCAUUGGAAACUGGGGAACUUGAGUGCAGAAGAGAAAAGCGGAAUUCCACGUGUAGCGGUGAAAUGCGUAGAGAUGUGGAGGAACACCAGUGGCGAAGGCGGCUUUUUGGUCUGUAACUGACGCUGAGGCGCGAAAGCGUGGGGAGCAAACAGGAUUANAUACCCUGGUAGUCCACGCCGUAAACGAUGAGUGCUAAGUGUUAGAGGGUUUCCGCCCUUUAGUGCUGCAGCUAACGCAUUAAGCACUCCGCCUGGGGAGUACGGUCGCAAGACU